rnacentral:rRNA from 1 species
GAUCAACGCUGGCGGCGUGCAUAACACAUGCAAGUCGAACGAAGUGGCUAACGUGUGAGUAACACGUGCGUAACCUGCCUUACACAAGGUGAUAGCCUUUGGAACCGACGCAUAAUACCCUAUCGUGUAAGAUGGACUUGCGUCUGAUUCGCUAGUUGGUGGGAUAAAAGCCCACCAAGGCGACGAUCAGUAGACGGCUUGAGUGAGUGGACGGCCACAUUGGGACUGAGACACGGCCCAAACUCUACGGGAGGCAGCAGUGUGGAAUUUUGCACAAGGGGGGAAAACCUGAUGCAGCGACGCCGCGUGAUUUAGAAGGCCUUCGGGGUGUAAAAAUCUUGGUUAUGGGAUGCAGUACCAUAAGAAUAAGGUCCGGCUAAAUACGUGCCAGCAGCCGCGGUAAUUC